rnacentral:rRNA from 1 species
CAGUAGCCGCGGUAAUACGUAGGUGGCAAGCGUUGUCCGGAAUUAUUGGGCGUAAAGCGCGCGCAGGUGGUUUAAUAAGUCUGAUGUGAAAGCCCACGGCUCAACCGUGGAGGGUCAUUGGAAACUGUUAAACUUGAGUGCAGGAGAGAAAAGUGGAAUUCCUAGUGUAGCGGUGAAAUGCGUAGAGAUUAGGAGGAACACCAGUGGCGAAGGCGGCUUUUUGGCCUGUAACUGACACUGAGGCGCGAAAGCGUGGGGAGCAAACAGGAUUAGAUACCCCCGUAGUCCCUGUCUCUUAUAA